rnacentral:rRNA from 1 species
UACGUAGGGGGCGAGCGUUGUCCGGAUUUACUGGGCGUAAAGGGCGCGCAGGCGGUCUGGGAAGGUUGGCGUGACAGUGCUCGGCUUAACUGAGCAAGGCCUUCGAAAACUCUCAGACUUGAGCACUCAAGAGGGACAUAGAAUUCCGGGUGGAGUGGUGAAAUGCGUAGAUAUCCGGAGGAAUACCAAAGGCGAAGGCAGUGUCCUGGGGAGUGUCUGACGCUCAGGCGCGAAAGCU